rnacentral:rRNA from 1 species
AUUGAACGCUGGCGGCAGGCCUAACACAUGCAAGUCGAGCGGAUGAAGGGAGCUUGCUCCUGGAUUCAGCGGCGGACGGGUGAGUAAUGCCUAGGAAUCUGCCUGGUCGUGGGGGAUAACGUCCGGAAACGGGCGCUAAUACCGCAUACGUCCUGAGGGAGAAAGGGGGGGAUCUUCGGACCUCACGCUAUCAGAUGAGCCUAGGUCGGAUUAGCUAGUUGGUGGGGUAAAGGCCUACCAAGGCGACGAUCCGUAACUGGUCUGAGAGGAUGAUCAGUCACACUGGAACUGAGACAUGGUCCAGACUCCUACGGGAGGCAGCAGUGGGGAAUAUUGGACAAUGGGCGAAAGCCUGAUCCAGCCAUGCCGCGUGUGUGAAGAAGGUCUUCGGAUUGUAAAGCACUUUAAGUUGGGAGGAAGGGCAGUAAGUUAAUACCUUGCUGUUUUGACGGUACCAACAGAAUAAGCACCGGCUAACUUCGUG